CGCAAAUUACUCACUCCCGGCACGGGGAGGUAGUGACAAAAAAUAACGAUACGGGACUCAUCCGAGGCCCCGUAAUCGGAAUGAGAACACUCUAAAUCAUUUAACAAGGACCUAUUGGAGGGCAAGUCUGGUGCCAGCAGCCGCGGUAAUUCCAGCUCCAAUAGCGUAUAUUAAAGUUGUUGCGGUUAAAAAGCUCGUAGUUGGUUCUGCGUCCCACGCUGUCGGUUCACCGUCUGUCGGUGCAACUGGCACGCCGUGGGAUGUCCUGUCGGUGGCGUCCUUGGAUCUUGGGAGCGCUGAGGGCUAAUUAGGGUUCCGAUGCUCUCCCCGGUGAAGGGGUCGCCGAACUAAUCCUACUUCGGUGCUCUUCAUUGAGUGUCGAGGUCGGCCGACACGUUUACUUUGAACAAAUUAGAGUGCUCAAAGCAGGCUGAAUUCCGCCUGAAUAGUGGUGCAUGGAAUAAUUGAAUAGGACCUCGGUUCUAUUUUGUUGGUUUUCUGAAUCCGAGGUAAUGAUCAAUAUGGACAAGCGGGGGCAUUCGUAUUGCGGCGUUAGACUUGGCAAAUGCUUUCGCGGUGAAAUUCUUGGAUCGUCGCAAGACGGACUAGAGCGAAAGCAUUUGCCAAGUAUGUCUUAGUUGAUCAAGAACGAAAGUUAGAGGUUCGAAGGCGAUCAGAUACCGCCCUAGUUCUAACCAUAAACGAUGCCAGCCAGCGAUCCGCCGAUGUUCCUCCGAUGACUCGGCGGGCAGCUUCCGGGAAACCAAAGCUUUUGGGUUCCGGGGGAAGUAUGGUUGCAAAGCUGAAACUUAAAGGAAUUGACGGAAGGGCACCACCAGGAGUGGAGCCUGCGGCUUAAUUUGACUCAACNCGGGGAACCUCACCAGGCCCGGACAUUGGAAGGAUUGACAGAUUGAUAGCUCUUUCUUGAUUCAAUGGGUAGUGGNGCAUGGCCNUUAAAAGUUG
rnacentral:rRNA from 1 species